rnacentral:sRNA from 1 species
UCCCACCGAAUUUCCACGGAUUGAAUACUUGGAUUAACGGGAUCAAUCGCUGGCUUCUCCUGAAUCCUGCAUUGAGCUGCCUUUAUUAAAUUUGAAGCGUUAACUCUAGAUGGAAAAUUCUACUAAUUCUCCUCUCCUCCCACGUCCUCCCCCCCUCCCCCCUCCCCCGCCUGGCAAUAGGACUAGUAUUUGCAACCAAAAGAAGCAAAUACUGGACUGACAGUAUUCAUCUGGGCGGCUUCGAUUUGUUUCGUCGAACAAGAACGGACAGCAAUGGCAAAUAGAUUCCUAGUCCCGCAUGAUAUCCACACCUGACAUCAAGACAGGAAAUCGCUAUUAUUCAGACUACAUACUCUUUUAAUUCCCAGUUCAAUAGGGUGAGUAGUGAUGCAGCGUUCCCUCACAUGCAUAAAACGGUGGGCGGGGGAUCUCAGGAUACUAUGACGACAUUUCCAACCAACAUCUUUGCCCAAGGCCAAUAGCUCUUUUCUCACCGUACAAUCAGCGGAACGUUGGAGCGGAAUUGGGCAUCCAUGCAGCAUAGCAUGGGCCAUGCCUGGAGAUGCGGCAAAAUGGAAGUCAUUCUGACAUAGUAAUUCAUCUAACCUGGGAUAAAGUUUGAGUGCAAGAUAUGAGGAUUUGAACAUUUUCAAAUAAGAUACUCAUAAGUCACCGAGAAGCUUAAAAACCUAGCGAAUUAAAAUCACGCCGCGAACGGCCACAGACUUACCAAAGCCGCCAGAUAUACCGUAUUUCGCUGUGGAAGAAAUCUGAAUCGUUCCACAGAUUGCUGAAGUGCGCGACAAUCAAACUUCGGCAGAAUCCUUGUUGAACACACUCGUUUUAUUGUCCGAUAACCCCGCCAACUUUUUCUCACUCCUCGUUUGGAACCCAACUACCCCUCCUUCCUCCGUGUCAUAUGGAGGCGACAACUAAACAGGUCAUAGACUCUGACGCAAUCAUGCAUAUUCGACAACUAUCACCCCGCGGCGGGGUGAAAGACGGGUAGAGAAGGUUCUGUCACUGGUAGUCCGCUCGCUGCGGAUAGCCGUUGCAAAUUUCAUAGCCACAAGAAUUUAAUUGUUUUAACUUAUUACAGCAAAUAAAUCAAAAUAUCGUAAAGUAUUGGGUUUCCCGACUUAUCUUUCCCCGUAUUGCCCUUCCCGUCCCGCCUCGAGAAACCGAACCAAAUUUCUGGUUUUUCCCUUUCCUUUUUUUCAUUAUUAUGUGAUCACUCUCCAUCAUAAGUGUUACGUGUUUGUUUGAUAUUACUAUUUUUAUCGUGAAAUCACCCCCAACUCAACUCCAGACGCAUUGCAUGAAUGGUGAGAGAAUCAUGACUAGCCGCAGCGACGCGUGUGUAGCGCAUACGUAUGCACAGAAAGAUCCGAUCAAGCAGGAAAACAAACGCAUUUACAAUGCUCAAAUGAGAGCCCAGCAGGGAUUUCGCUGACUGAACGGAGGCCGCCUCAUUGACGAGAGAUCAUAUUCUUUUGCUUUUGAAACCUCAUAUAGAUGAGAAAGUGGAUUCUUGGUUUGCGAGUUACGCGUGUUGACAUACGUACUGCUCGGGAAUUUUUGACAAGGGAGAGAGGUGGGGGAUUGUGUACUCGUAUGCUGCUAUCCCAGCAGUGGAUCUUAUCAGGGCAGUCAAACAACUAGUUGGGAAGUGGAGAUUUGGGAAUAAAGCCAUUGUUUAAAAAUAGACAUCUGGAGCAUUUUCGUGUGGGUGUUCCUUGGCGUCUAUAUAGUAGAAAUGUCGGUGUAUAUUAGAAGCUUAACUAGGGAAAAAUAACGAACUCUGAAGGGAAACUAACAACUAAUGUGUUGCCUUUUUGGGACUUUUUUUUUUUUUUUUUUUUUUUUGGAGAGGUGGUGUUUGAAAUUGAGA